CAUAAAAUUAGCAUAAAUUAAAGAAAAAGAAAGCCAUGACUUUUCAAUUUCAGAUGUUUUCUACUAUAAUUAUGAUCAUCAUCUGCUUCAUGUUCAUCAUUCUUACAGUUACAUAUGCAAGACCCGCUGACGUAUGCUCAUAUGAACUAUUGGAUAAACCAUGCAAAAAUUCAACAUGGUGUAAUGAUGUUUGCGUGAGUCAAAUGUAUAAAUGGGGAAGCUGCGUGCCGUUAAAGGAGAUGUAUACGUGUACGUGUUACUACAUGUGUGGAUGAGAGGUAACAAUUGAAGAAGCAUGCUGAAAUACAAACAAUUAGUACUAGAGUUGUUACAACAUCUAGACAAAUACAGUUCAUCUCUAAGUAUGUCUUCUAAGAUCGACCCUUUUGUUGCGUCUUAUGUAAAACAUGUUUUUCCAUUCCCGAAAACUUGGCAAAUCGCUAUCCAUGUAUUACCCUGGCUAUAGGUGAACCAGGAUACCCUGAUAAAAAUAAUAAUAAUAAUAAUAAUAAUUGGACUUUGUGUGGC